GUGGGAUUGACCCUAGCGUAUCACUGGCACUACGCCUUUAUUGGACAAGAAGAAUUAUAAAUUUAUUUACAAGAAGUUGAAACGACGACUUCAUUAAUUCGAAAGCACAGCUUUGUCCGCCUCCACCACCGUCGCACCUCCACCACCAACCUCGGGCCAUUGCUAGAUCCGAGAAGAAAAUAUUAGGCGAAGGAGGCUACUGCUCGCCGAAUCCGUAGCAGCAGCAGCAUCAUGCAGUGGUGCGCCUUGCCACCGCACACCCGUCACCUCCGCCGGAGCAGACCUUCUCCGCUGAACGCAGCCCAUCUCCGCCGUUUCUGAUAAUGUCGAGUUCCGUCAACAAUAAUAAUGAAUCUGAGAAGUUAAAAACUCUCUGCAGCAUCUCUCUUCAGAUAUGAGCAGCAUCAGUUUCCAGUCAUACUCUUCAAGUGCAGCUCCUUCAAAACGUAUGAACAGUUGGAGUUUUGAUGAGAAGGUUUUAAUGGGGGUCACUUUAUAAGGUAACUUCAAGAACUCAUGUCAAUCAAAUUGGAAUAAUCCAUUUAUGAUUUUUUUUUUUUUCAUUUUCCCUUUUGUUGAUAUUAGAUAUUGGCCUUUCAGAUUCUUCUUUAUCAUUAAGAGAGAUGUCAUUUGCAGGUGUUAGUGUCUUUCCAGCGUAGGCGAGCAAGUAGCUAAAGAUAUUCGGCUAAUUGAUGCUAUAGCUGAAAAGCAAGCUCAAUUUUUUUUCUGAAGAAUGCAAGUUGUUUCCAGCAGAUGUGCAGAUCCACCAUUGAUUCUAUCACAACUUGGCGUUUAUGAUUAUUUUGUACUCUGUUGGAACUAUUUUUAUUUUAUUUUGAUAUAUUGAGAAACACUAUGUCAAUGUGUCUUGAAAAUGUAUUUCAUUUAUUUAUAUGAA